rnacentral:lncRNA from 1 species
UCCUGGACUGAAUUUUGAAGAAUGAACAGAACUCACUACUAGAUGUAUGAAGAGAAAAUCGCAUCCUAAACAGAGGGAACUCCAGGAUUUUAGACAUGGAUUCAUCAAUGCGCAGUUGCAGUACUGUACAUGGGAGAAGUCAGGAGUGAUAGUUGAGCUAAGAGAUAGAGACAUCCGUAGAGGUAUGUACCGUCACAGUUUGUGAGACAGGCAAUAAGAGGAGUUCA